rnacentral:tRNA from 1 species
UCCUUGUUAGUAUAGUGGUGAGUAUCUGUGCCUAUCACACGGGAGACCGGGGUUCGAUUCCCCGACAGGGAG